AUCCGUUUGACAAGUCCCAAAUAGGACGAAACGUGCGUCCUGGAU
rnacentral:hammerhead_ribozyme from 1 species